CAGUAGCCACGGGAAUACGUAGGUGGCAAGCGUUAUCCGGAAUUAUUGGGCGUAAAGCGCGCGUAGGCGGUUUUUUAAGUCUGAUGUGAAAGCCCACGGCUCAACCGUGGAGGGUCAUUGGAAACUGGAAAACUUGAGUGCAGAAGAGGAAAGUGGAAUUCCAUGUGUAGCGGUGAAAUGCGCAGAGAUAUGGAGGAACACCAGUGGCGAAGGCGACUUUCUGGUCUGUAACUGACGCUGAUGUGCGAAAGCGUGGGGAUCAAACAGGAUUAGAUACCCCCGUAGUCCCUGUCUCUUAUAC
rnacentral:rRNA from 1 species